rnacentral:rRNA from 1 species
CAAUAGCGUAUAUUAAAGCUGUUGCGGUAAAAAAGCUCGUAGUUGGAUUUCUACCGAAGAUAGCCGGUCGGGUCUUCGACCUUGUAUCUGGUUUUGUCUUUGGUAUCCUCAUAGGGAACGUUUCUGCGCUUUAUUGCGUGGUGCGGUAUCUAUGACUUUUACUUUGAGGAAAUUAGAGUGUUCACGGCAGGCAAACGCCUUGAAUAUAUUAGCAUGGAAUAAUAACAUAGGAUCUUCGUCCUAUUUUGUUGGUUUCUAGGGCUAAGAUAAUGAUUAAUAGGGAUAAUUGGGGGCAUCUGUAUCAACGCGUCAGAGGUGGAAUUCUUGGAUUGCGUUGCGACAAACUACUGCGAAAGCAUUUGCCAAGGAUGUUUUCAUUGA